rnacentral:rRNA from 1 species
AAGUGAGUGAUACCCUGCUUCCAGGAAAAGCCACUAAGCUUCAGCUGCACACGACCGUACCGCAAACCGACACUGGUGCGCGAGAUGAGUAUUCUAAGGCGCUUGAGAGAACUGCGGAGAAGGAACUCGGCAAAUUGAUACCGUAACUUCGGGAGAAGGUAUGCCCUAAGUAAGUGAAGUUGUACAAAUGGAGCUGAACAGGGUUGCAAAAAAUCGGUGGCUGCGACUGUUUAAUAAAAACACAGCACUCUGCAAACACGAAAGUGGACGUAUAGGGUGUGACGCCUGCCCGGUGCUGGGAGAUUAAAUGAUGGGGUGCAAGCUCUUGAUUGAAGUCCCAGUAAACGGCGGCCGUAACGAUAACGGUCCUAAGGUAGCGAAAUUCCUUGUCGGGUAAGUUCCGACCUGCACGAAUGGCGUAACGAUGGCCACACUGUCUCCUCCGCAGACUCAGCGAAGUUGAAAUGUUUGUGAUGAUGCAAUCUCCCCGCGGAAAGACGGAAAGACCCCAUGAACCUUUACUGUAGCUUUGUAUUGGACUUUGAACGGAUCUGUGUAGGAUAGGUGGGAGGCUUUGAAGUGAGGUCGCUAGAUCUCAUGGAGCCAACGUUGAAAUACCACCCUGGUGCGUUUGAGGUUCUAACCUGGGUCCCUUAUCGGGAUCGGGGACAGUGCAUGGUAGGCAGUUUGACUGGGGCGGUCUCCUCCCAAAGCGUAACGGAGGAGUUCGAAGGUACGCUAGGUACGGUCGGACAUCGUGCUAAUAGUGCAAUGGCAUAAGCGUGCUUAACUGCGAGACUGACAAGUCGAGCAGAUGCGAAAGCAGGACAUAGUGAUCCGGUGGUUCUGUAUGGAAGGGCCAUCGCUCAACGGAUAAAAGGUACUCUGGGGAUAACAGGCUGAUACCGCCCAAGAGUUCAUAUCGACGGCGGUGUUUGGCACCUCGAUGUCGGCUCAUCUCAUCCUGGGGCUGUAGCCGGUCCCAAGGGUAUGGCUGUUCGCCAUUUAAAGAGGUACGUGAGCUGGGUUUAAAACGUCGUGAGACAGUUUGGUCCCUAUCUUCCGUGGGCGCUGCAGAUUUGAGGAAGCCUGCUCCUAGUACGAGAGGACCGGAGUGGACACACCUCUGGUGUACCUGUUGUCACGCCAGUGGCAUCGCAGGGUAGCUAAGUGUGGAAGGGAUAACCGCUGAAAGCAUCUAAGCGGGAAACUCGUUCCAAGAUGAGGUCUGCCGGGGGCUCGACCCCCCUGAAGGGUCGUUCUAGACCAGGACGUUGAUAGGCUGGGUGUGCAAGAGCAGUAAUGCUUUGAGCUAACCAGUACUAAUUGCCC